CGGGAUGUAGCGCAGCUGGUAGCGCACUUCGCUUGGGACGAAGGGGUCGCACGUUCGAACCGUGUCAUCCCGACCA
rnacentral:tRNA from 1 species